rnacentral:rRNA from 1 species
GGCGGACGGGUGAGUAAUGUCUGGGAAACUGCCUGAUGGAGGGGGAUAACUACUGGAAACGGUAGCUAAUACCGCAUAACGUCGCAAGACCAAAGUGGGGGACCUUCGGGCCUCAUGCCAUCAGAUGUGCCCAGAUGGGAUUAGCUAGUAGGUGGGGUAACGGCUCACCUAGGCGACGAUCCCUAGCUGGUCUGAGAGGAUGACCAGCCACACUGGAACUGAGACACGGUCCAGACUCCUACGGGAGGCAGCAGUGGGGAAUAUUGCACAAUGGGCGCAAGCCUGAUGCAGCCAUGCCGCGUGUGUGAAGAAGGCCUUCGGGUUGUAAAGCACUUUCAGCGGGGAGGAAGGCGGUAAGGUUAAUAACCUUGUCGAUUGACGUUACCCGCAGAAGAAGCACCGGCUAACUCCGUGCCAGCAGCCGCGGUAAUACGGAGGGUGCAAGCGUUAAUCGGAAUUACUGGGCGUAAAGCGCACGCAGGCGGUCUGUCAAGUCGGAUGUGAAAUCCCCGGGCUCAACCUGGGAACUGCAUUCGAAACUGGCAGGCUAGAGUCUUGUAGAGGGGGGUAGAAUUCCAGGUGUAGCGGUGAAAUGCGUAGAGAUCUGGAGGAAUACCGGUGGCGAAGGCGGCCCCCUGGACAAAGACUGACGCUCAGGUGCGAAAGCGUGGGGAGCAAACAGGAUUAGAUACCCUGGUAGUCCACGCCGUAAACGAUGUCGACUUGGAGGUUGUGCCCUUGAGGCGUGGCUUCCGGAGCUAACGCGUUAAGUCGACCGCCUGGGGAGUACGGCCGCAAGGUUAAAACUCAAAUGAAUUGACGGGGGCCCGCACAAGCGGUGGAGCAUGUGGUUUAAUUCGAUGCAACGCGAAGAACCUUACCUGGUCUUGACAUCCACAGAACUUUCCAGAGAUGGAUUGGUGCCUUCGGGAACUGUGAGACAGGUGCUGCAUGGCUGUCGUCAGCUCGUGUUGUGAAAUGUUGGGUUAAGUCCCGCAACGAGCGCAACCCUUAUCCUUUGUUGCCAGCGGU